CCCACGGUGGCCAGGCACCUCGCCUCCGCCCUGGCUCCGGGAGGCCGGGCGCUGCCUCUGCCGCCUGCCGUGGUGAGGCUCCCCCGUUCACACACCCUGAGCUCCGGGGACCAGAAGACACCGAUCAACCUCAGAUUCCCGAUUUCCGAUCUCCGAGAGCAUCGACCUGGCCGGCCUGCCCUUACAGGGCGCCUACGUCUGAACCAGGUGAUGAUUUUCAAAGCAGAAUGUUCUGAGACACGCGGAGGGGCCCCGGCCAAACACUCUUCUGGGAAAUUAGAAAAAAUAAAUGAUUCGUUUACAGAAAGUUGGUGAAACUGUAGCUCAGUCACUGAAGUCUUCCUUAGUGCGUCCAAGGCCCUGGGUUUGAUUUCCAACCAUACAAAAAAAAAAAAAAAAAAAAAAAAAAAAAAAAAAAAAAAAAAAAAAAAAGAGCAUUUACAGAAAAUCAGGAUGAAAUUCUAAAUCAUUCUACAUUUGUCACAUCCACACCCUUUCCCAAGCCAUG
rnacentral:lncRNA from 1 species